AUUUGUGAAACCCAUUGAAGUUAGGACCUCUGGCAGACAGAAGCUGCCAUCUCUCCUGAUGACCCUGCUGAUUCCACCUAUCUGCACCAAAGAAGACCUGGAUAAGCCCAGCCUUGCAUCAGAUGAGGGGCAGCUGUGCAAUACCUUGGUUGUGCCAAGACUGGGGACGGAUUGCCCCCUCCAAUGCCCCAUCCUGUAGCCAUGGGAGCUGCAGGGGGAGUUCUGACAGAUCACAGGGGUGUCAGGUAUGAACCCGGUCGAUGUACUGUACUGGAGAGCUGAACAAGUGCAAAAGUCUGAUCUCUUCUGUAACCAUCAGCUGGGGAAGUGCUAGAAAUGUAUGACUCAGCUGGAGGAGUUAUCAGUUCCUGAGAUCUGAUCUUGUGUCUGAAACCCACUGGAGAAUACUAUUGCUAAUUAUUCCACAAACUUUGUCUGCAUAUUUGAAGGUGAAAAUGUGAAGGUCUGCAUUUCCAAAUUCUCUGGAGACCCACAGCAUCAGGAGUGCUGAGGGGAUAAUAUGGGGUCUGGGCAUCACCAAAACCCAUGGUUUGGUCUUUUGUAACAUAGAAGUGAGUUUCAAAAUGUUAGCUUGUAUUUUAUAUGUAUUAGUUUACAUAUAUGAAUGUACAAUUUUUUUUAUGAUUGAAUUUCCAGAACAAUUGGUGUGUUGAGGUUGCUUCAUAUGUAGAAAUUGGUGAUUAAUAUUCCAACGUAGAUUAAUAUUUGUGAAGUCAGAGAGGUCUGACUUCAAAAUUGUGUUCAAAUGAGAACUGCAAAAGAUUACACAGUUCUAAUUUCCCCUAAGACAAGGAGGCCUUCCCUCUGACAAGCAACAGAGUAUUAUUGCCCUAACACUGGUGUUCACCUUCCUUAUGGCGUAGACAGUGCACCAUGAAUAAAUAAUGAAAUGAUUUCUUUGGCAUUGUCUUCCAAGAACAAAACCCACUGGUAACUCUGAAAUGCAGCUAUUACAUAACCCACCAUGUACAGCCAGACUAUUUUGGUAUUGUGCUUUUUGUAAUUACUGCUCAGACAUAUGAAGCUAUUUUUACAAAACAGGCCAAUAACAUUCUUUCACUGGAGGAUCAUUCCUGAUGGUCACGUGUGUCUUGUAUGCAGAACACAAAUAUGGUAGGCAGCAGUGAUGUUGCUAAAUAUCUGAUAUACCAUAAUGCAAAACUGCCAUCUACAAGUCAUCCAUAUAAUUUCCUAUCAUUUCUUUUUUCUAGGAGAUUCAGAUAUGCUUGUCUUAAUGCACUCAGUUCAAUUUCUCAUUUAAAGUGGAUGUCACUGAUUUCAUACCUGACAAACAACUUAAAAAGUAAACAACAAUGUAAUGAUGCGGUCUCCUUCCAUUCUUGUGUCCACGGAGAUAUAACAGUUUAACUCUUU